rnacentral:tRNA from 13 species
GGGGCCAUAGCUCACACUGGGAGAGCGCCCCGCUAAGCGGGGAGGUUGUGGGUUCAAAUCCCUCUGGCUCCA